GUUGCUGUGGCAGAAUCAGGCUAUGCAAAAGACCUAAACUCUUUCCCUAGGGGUUCAAAUCCCCUCACCAACU
rnacentral:tRNA from 1 species